rnacentral:rRNA from 1 species
CCUGCCAGUAGUCAUACGCUAAACUCAAAGAUUAAGCCAUGCAUGUCUCAGUACAGCCUAGACAAAGUGAAACCGCAAACAGCUCAUUAAAUCAGUUGCAAUACCUUUGCUUAAGAUUUCUUAAAUGGAUAACUGUGGUAAAUCUAGAGCUAAUACAUGAAAACUUGUCCUACUGGCAACAGUAGGUCGCAUUUUAUUAGACCCAGAUCAUAGGCAGUUUUCGGACUGCUUUUACAUCAGAGGUGACUCUAGAUAACAUUCAGCUAUCAUUCAAGUCCUCUUUGAGCGACGGUGAAAUGCGAUUCUGGCUUCUGCCUUAUCAACUAAUGUUGGUAGGCGAAGGGACUACCAAGGUGGUCACGAGUAACGGGGAAUAUGGGUUUUAUUCCGGAGAAGGAGCCUGAGAAACGGCUACUACAUCUAAGGGUGGCAGCAGGCGCGCAAUUUGCCCAAUUUUAGAUGUAGGAGGCAGUGACGAGACAUAAACAUUGAUGAGCGUAGUUUUCGAAUUGCGUUUCAUCAAAAAAAUUGUGAUUGAGCACAAUGUAAAUGCUUUGGCGAUAAUCUAUUGGAGGGCAAGUCUGGUGCCAGCAGCCGCGGUAAUUCCAGCUCCAAUAGCGUAUAUUAAUAUUGUUGCGGUUAAAAAGCUCAUAGUUUAAAUUUGAACAGCAGCUGUUCUAGUCUCCCGAUUGGUAUCUUGUAUACUGUCGGGCUUGUAUGGUUAGACAGCAGUGUAGUUCGUAAUUGAUGUUUGCUGGUCGUAUUGUGAUACGUGCCAUUUGCAGCAUCAGCGAUUACUUUGACUAAAUCAGAGUGAUCAAAACAGGCUCGUUUUGCACGGCCUUGAGUGCUCUAGCAUGGAAUAAUAGAAAAGGACUCGUUUGGUCCGAUGGUGUAAUGCCAACUAUGGUCUUCGGUACCUCGAGUAAUGAUUAAAAGGGAUUGACGGGGGCAGUCGUAUUGCUGGGCUAGCGGUGAAAUGCAAUGACCCUGGUAAGACGUCCGAAAGCGAAAGCAUCUGCCUAGGAUGUUUUCAUUAAUCAAGAGCGAAAGUUAGAGGUGCGAAGGCGAUUAGAUACCGCCCUAGUUCUAACCAUAAACGAUGCCGACCAGCAGUCAGUCUGAGAAUUCAAGCAAUCAAAAUUGAGUAAUCAAUCUUGAAUUAGACUGGCUCUCACGGAGAAAUCAGAGUGAUUACGCUCCGGGGGAAGUAUGGUUGCAAGGCUGAAACUUAAAGGAAUUGACG